AUAUUGGUCAAUGGGCGUAAGCCUGAACCAGCCAAGUCGCGUGAGGGAUGAAGGUUCUAUGGAUCGUAAACCUCUUUUAUAAGGGAAUAAAGUGCGGGACGUGUCCCGUUUUGUAUGUACCUUAUGAAUAAGGAUCGGCUAACUCCGUGCCAGCAGCCGCGGUAAUACGGAGGAUCCGAGCGUUAUCCGGAUUUAUUGGGUUUAAAGGGUGCGUAGGCGGCCUUUUAAGUCAGCGGUGAAAGUCUGUGGCUCAACCAUAAAAUUGCCGUUGAAACUGGGGGGCUUGAGUAUGUUUGAGGCAGGCGGAAUUCGUGGUGUAGCGGUGAAAUGCAUAGAUAUCACGCAGAACCCCGAUUGCGAAGGCAGCCUGCCAAGCCAUUACUGACGCUGAUGCACGAAAGCGUGGGGAUCAAACAGGAUUAGAUACCCUGGUAGUCCACGCAGUAAACGAUGAUCACUAGCUGUUUGCGAUACACUGUAAGCGGCACAGCGAAAGCGUUAAGUGAUCCACCUGGGGAGUACGCCGGCAACGGUGAAACUCAAAGGAAUUGACGGGGGCCCGCACAAGCGGAGGAACAUGUGGUUUAAUUCGAUGAUACGCGAGGAACCUUACCCGGGUUUGAACGCAUUCGGACCGAGGUGGAAACACCUUUUCUAGCAAUAGCCGUUUGCGAGGUGCUGCAUGGUUGUCGUCAGCUCGUGCCGUGAGGUGUCGGCUUAAGUGCCAUAACGAGCGCAACCCUUGCCACUAGUUACUAACAGGUUAGGCUGAGGACUCUGGUGGGACUGCCAGCGUAAGCUGUGAGGAAGGUGGGGAUGACGUCAAAUCAGCACGGCCCUUACGUCCGGGGCUACACACGUGUUACAAUGGCGUGGACAGAAGGGAGCCACCUGGCGACAGGGAGCGAAUCCCCAAACCACGUCUCAGUUCGGAUCGGAGUCUGCAACCCGACUCCGUGAAGCUGGAUUCGCUAGUAAUCGCGCAUCAGCCAUGGCGCGGUGAAUACGUUCCCGGGCCUUGUACACACCGCCCGUCAAGCCAUGGGAGCCGGGGGUACCUGAAGUCCGUAACCGCGAGGAUCGGCCUAGGGUAAAACUGGUGACUGGGGCUAAGUCGUAACAAGGUAGCCGUACCGGAAGGUGCGGCUG
rnacentral:rRNA from 1 species